rnacentral:lncRNA from 1 species
GUGGGCAAUUAGUUGUUUUGUCAUGAUUCACAUGGUUGCCUUCUUCUGUGGCAGGCGGUUCUUCGAAGAAUUUUAUAAUGAAUGUGAUAAACAUAAUCAAGGCUGAAAAGUGAAGCAGAUAAUCAUUGUUUAGAUGGCCGACAUUCAUUCAUUGGGGUUGGGACCUUCAUCACAGAGUCUUUGUAUUUCAACCUAUUUGUCGCAGACCGAUGUCGAUGGAUAGGAG